rnacentral:lncRNA from 1 species
UCAAGUUCUCUGUUUCCAGUACACCUGCUAUUUGUUCAUGCGAUAAACAGCAAAGUUGAAAUCCAGGAAGCGCCACAGACAGGCCUGAUAAGGACACUGCCAACAACUCCUGGAAGAACUUCUUACAGCUGACGAGAAACAUAUAACGUUCACAUCAGCAAGCACUUCCUCUAACCUAGUUUUCCUUAGAAUCUCAUCCAGAUGAAUGCAUGUGAAGGAGAAACGUCUCGGGGUGGGAGCCAGCGACAAAGACAAGUGGCUUUCCUUCUUCAGAAAGGCAGGCCUCUUUUCUGGGGAAAAAAAGAGGUCACAUUUGCACAGCUAGUGCUCAAAAGUAGAGCGAUUUGGUCCUUCAGCCAAGAAGGAUUAAGAAUGUUUGCCAAGACCUUUAGUGGAGCGAUGUGUCGCCCUUGGAGAGGAAAACAAAAGAGCACCCAGCAACCAAGAUAUAUGUACUCAGCUUUCAAUAACAGAAUGCCGGAGGAAUAGUUCUUGAUUCCAGUUUCAUUUGCUAGGCUUUUUGUGCAGGACUGGAGGCGCAAGGUGGCAGAUUCUGCUUGAAUGUUGCUGUUCUCUUCCCCCCACCCCAAGAGCUGCUGAGCGCGCACUUCAUGGUCAAACUGGAUUUGGAGUUACUAGCAGCCAUCUUGAACGCACACUGUUUUGGGGUGAUCUGCAGAAAUGUUUAUAACUGUGCUUCAUGGAGAAAAUAAAGCAGAGAUUUUUAACAUUUAUUGUAAAGUCCAGCUUCUGCUAGAUGGCAUAAAACAGCGCUGCGGCUGUGAAGAUGAAGAUGAAAUUGAGUUAGCGGAUGAGAGUGGCCAAGUGAAGAAUUUACCCCAAAACAAGCACCGGUGUGCCACCGAACUUCUAAUGGAGAGAGAGACCUAUGUGCUCCUUGGUGUCACAGGCAGUGAAAGACCUUCAGAGAAAAUAUAUACACCGCUGCUGAAAGAUGAAAAUGUGAUAAACUCGAAAUUCUUGGCUAAACUAGAGGCUUGUCGAGAUCACAAGGCUCCUUCUCCCAGAGUAAAAGCCAGGAGGACCCAUAAAAAAUCAAACUUGGAUCUUCCAGCUGCAGAAGGUUUACGGAACCAUUCAGCUCACGGCAGUAGAACAAGGACCCCCGUCUCUUCUCCGAAGCAAAGCAGGAAAUUAUGAUUUAAUCGCUGGAUCUUGAGUAAUAACCCAUGCUAAGUUGGAAGGAAGAUGUAUUUGCUCUUUCUCUAGGCAAAUUCUGAUUAGCGUCGACAAUUCUGUGCACUUAAAUCUUGGGCGUAAGAGUGACCAGACACUGUUGGACUGUCCUUUAAAUAGGCAUAUAUAAAUGGCACUGCAGAUUGGCCAUCUGUAGCUCAGUUUUAAUUUACUCUACAGAUACUGACAGUGUUCCCCUCUCUCUUUUUCUGUACAAGGAUCCUGUUUCUUUUUUCAUUUUUCUUCCAGAGCUUUACAAGAAUCAACUUAACUCAUUUAUGCAUAGUGAGACUAUAAAUAGUCCCCUGACAUUACUUACUGGACGCAUAUCCACAUGCUUGACUGAAGCUAAUUCAAUAAAAAGCAUUAUUGUCUGUGUAUCUCUUGCCUC